GACGGAGGGGGCUAGCGUUGUUCGGAAUCACUGGGCGUAAAGGGCGCGUAGGCGGCCUAGCAAGUCAGGCGUGAAAUCCCGGGGCUUAACCCCGGAACUGCGCUUGAAACUGCAAGGCUUGAGUCUCGGAGAGGAUGGUGGAAUUUCUAGUGUAGAGGUGAAAUUCGUAGAUAUUAGAAGGAACACCGAUGGCGAAGGCAGCCAUCUGGACGAGUACUGACGCUGAGGCGCGAAAGCGUGGGGAGCAAAC
rnacentral:rRNA from 1 species